rnacentral:lncRNA from 1 species
CAUGCCUAGCUCCUCUAGGCCGAUUUCUACCCAUUUCACAAUCAGACUCAUAAUCCUCCUCAUUCCCACUUCCUGCUUCAUAUUCAUCAUCAAAUUCAUCCACAUGUACAGGUUCUUGCCUUACAGGUCUUCUAGUAUUAGGAUUUUUAUUAGGCUACCCUCCUUGUAAAUUUGCAGUCACCAUGUCUUGCCUAUCCAUCCUGUCCCUGAAUUCACCGAAAACCACAUGU